AUUGAACGCUAGCGGGAUGCCUUAAACAUGCAAGUCGAACGGAGUUGCGAACGGGUGAGUACUGUAUCGGAACGUGCCCAGUAGCAGGGGAUAACUACGCGAAAGCGUAGCUACUACCGCAUACUAUUUGAGCGGCCGAUAUCGGAUUAGCUAGUGGGGGGGGUAACGGCGAACCAAGGAGACGAUCCGUAGCUGGUUUGAGAGGACGACCAGCAAAACUGGGACUGAGACACGGCCCAGACUCCUACGGGAGGCAGCAGUGGGGAAUUGUGGACAAUGGGUGAAACCCUGAUCCAGCCAUCCCGCGUGUGCGAUGAAGGCCUUCGGGUUGUAAAGCACUUUUGGCAGGAAAGCGGUACCUGCAGAAUAAGCACCGGCUAACUACGUGCCAGCAGCCGCGGUAAUAC
rnacentral:rRNA from 1 species